rnacentral:pre_miRNA from 1 species
AAGUCAAAUUUCUUUAGUUUUGGACAAGUUUAUAAAAAUGCACAAACAUCACAACAUCAAACUACAUUUAUUAGAUACAUCAUGAAAUAUACUUUGAUAGUGCAUUUAUUUGAUAUUGCAGAUAUUAAUAUAUUUUUGUAUAAACUUGGUCAAAGUUAGACAAGUUUGACAU